rnacentral:lncRNA from 1 species
GUAUUGAAUGUAAGAUUGCAUUGUUGUAGAGACAGAGAAUGGAACACCCCAUUCAGUUUGUCAUCUGAUCCCACAUUCUCUAUCCCAUGAGUGAAAUAAGAUAACAAUCCAUUGAUCAAUUCACGUAGCCUCUUUGUUUUGCUUUACUUGUUCCACUCAAUUUCUCAUCAUGGUAUAAUUAACAAUGGACGGGUCGAUUUCUUAACAAAAUAGGAUAGGACUGACUACAUUAGUUAGUUAGCUUAUUAUUUUAAUAAAUCAAAAUUAUUAUAAAAAGAUUAAAAGCACGUAGUAUUUUUUACUACUACCGUUGCAACGCACGGACCCUUUUGCUAGUUGCUUAUAAUGCACUUUCAGCAUGCUGGAGCAUCAUAUCAACGAACAUAACUACUGAACAUGCAACAGCUUUUUGUAUCGUAUAGGCAAAUACCUUUCAGAAGAAUACAUAUAAAUUCAUACUGAAACUAGUGGAACAAAAUUUGUAUAGCUUCUUAAAAGCUCAAAGGUCCUUGCUGAACAAACUUAUGUCUAGAGCCUAUAUAAGCCGACACAACUAACAUUUCUGAAUAGCUCAAACUCCACAUAUUCUCUGGAAGGAUAUUUCUAUCUACCACAGGCCACCUCAUCCAAAAUUACUCAGUUGGCUUGUCUGGGUCAUCUUCCUCAGGAUCCUCCUUGUCAGGAUCAUCCUCCUGUGGUUCUUCUUGAGGUUGUGCUUCUUCCUCUUCUUCUUCCUCAUCAUCAUCCAGAGGAUCAUCAGCUGGUAAUGGAUGGGGCAAUGGUGUUUUCAUAGGGCUGAACUUUGGGAAGAUGUCAGGUCUCCUCCCAGGCUUAGGUUUCUCCCAUUCCUACAAAUGAGUAAUAGAUGGGGAGCAUCAGCUUCACUGCUAACACAGAGGAAGAAUGUCUGAUGGAACAUCUUCUUCAAACAAUUAACUACUCCUUCCGAUCCAUAUUAUUCGUUGCUCAAACAGAUGUAUCUAGACGUAUUUCAGUGCUAGAUACAUUCGUUUGAAUGACAAGUAAUAUAGAUCGGAGGGACUAGUAUUUUGAGAUUGUCCUAGAGAAGUCUUGCUACAGCUAGACAAAUCACACAUGAAAAUUGACAAUUAUCAAUCUUGAUAUAACAGGAAAUAAUCCGGAACAUAAUAAAUAAAUGGCAUGAUAUAAGCCUAUAACCAUAAUAAGUGUCACAACAUAGCUCAGCAAGUCCGUUGAACAAUAAAAUUAAGGUUUGUCUCAAAACAUGCAGGAGUCACACUCACAACUUACAACCAAGGAAUGGAACACAAUUGCAAGCAAAAACAGAAAGGUAACAUGAACCUAAUUUGAAUUUCACCUUGGGACAACUCAUUAGUGUCCCUAUCAAUUUAUCAUGAACAUGUUAUUCCACUAUUUUUACCCUAAAUGAUUAGGGCAUGUACAGUACCCUAGUAUCACACAAAAUUUAUGUGUGCUUGAAACAAGCAAAUAUAGAACAUGUCCUAGAUCAGUAGGCCAUAUAUUUCAAAAUUCGUUUGUAAGAAAUUAGAUUGCUAGCAUCAUGACAACAAGACACCAGCUGGAAAAUGGAAAGUUCCUGCAGAAAGCGGUCUAAUAGACCGCCUGAUCCCUAAAUAACUACCGUACGAUUGUCUUAAAACAAACACGACUCAAGACAAGCAUUCAGUUCGACCAUUUCAUGGCACGCAUAUCUAUUUUGGGAUGAUUUUGGCAUUUGAACCUCCGCUUGCACAACUCUAACCUAGGUGGAAACCUUCAAAGUGUCUUAUCGUACACGCUAUGCAUACUGUUUCAGUGCAAGAGCACCAUCUACAAAACAAUCUACAAAGUCCUAACCUCACAUCAUUGUUUGAACUCAUGCAACUCAGGCCCACUCCUAAAAUGCAAGUAGUGAUCCAAACGUUCUUAUAUUUCUUUACAGAGGGAGUAUAUAUUUCCUCACAUGAAGAUCUUUAUAUAGAACUCCAAGCUAACACUUCUAAAAACAACCAAGCUAACACUUCUAAAACAACCAAGCUAACACUUCUAAAAUAUGCAAGAACGAUGAGACUAGGAUGUCGCUGGCUAUCUACUAGGAGCCUUUGUAGUAUCCACAAGCACAAGCAAACGUGCAUCUGAAGUUGCCCUGUCCAAUCACAAGAACUCAGGUGCACUCUAAGCUAACAUUCCUACUGAUUUCAUCCACUCUGAAUACCUAAACCCAUGUAAAUCCGGGUGUAGUAAGCUAAAAUGACCGAAAAAUUCUGAACCGGAAGAUUUCGGUUCAACAUGAGAGGAGUAGCUAAAUGACUACGAGGGGGAACGGGCGGAGAAGAAUUACGAUGGGGAAAUCGAGGGGCGAGCGCCGCGUAAUCUUCUCCUCGUCAGGGGCCACGCACACCACGAGCGAGUCCCACCUGCGCCGCGUCCUCGCCGGGACCGCCGCCCGCGCGGCGAAGACGCCUCUGGAUUCCGAGGCGGAGACGCCGAGAGCGCCCGGCGCCGCCACCGGCGCGGCGGCCGGCGCUAAGAGGCACCACGCGGACGCCAUGGGGAGAGGUCAAGAUAGCUUAAGGGUAAGGCGCUUCCGGCUUAGGGCUCUCCUGGGUGGAGGCCGGAGAAGUGGAGAAGUCGGGAUGGAAUUUGGGUUUCCCCUUCGUGUGGUUUGGUCGAGUUGCGGCUCCUACCACCCUGCUACCGUCGGCUCUCUGAGAGACUGAGACUGCCUCUUCGAGUGAUAAGAGUCGGUCCCGUCCCGUGUGCAGCUGAGCUGAGCUGAGCUGAGCUGACUCCCUCCGUUCAGUAAUAUAAAAACGUUGUUGACAUCGUAUUAAUAUAAAAAGUGAUCUUAUAUCAUGAGACCGAGGAAGUAUAUUUUGGAGUAAUAUAUAUUAUUUCUUUUCCAAUAUUAAAUUAAAAAGACACAUAUGAAUUUUUUGUUCCAUUGUAUGUAAGCGAGAAGAUGCUAGCGGCUACGAUCUACGAAGCAAAUCGUCGUCUCAGGAAAAACAUGAUAAGAACAUGUUGGAGCUUCAAAGAUAACCGAUCAAAUCCCGAAAGGCCCCUGAAAGACACGACUUCAUACGUCCUCCGCUAGUGCAAAGCACAACAAUGGAACAAGGAUGGUGUUAGAACUAAUGUGAGGUGCAUAUCGAUCUAUUGAGGAUCAAGCAAUCACAAGAGGAACGAAACCGAAAUUCAUUAACAAGGUUCAUCAAACAUCGACUACAUCCCUGGGGUCUCCCUACGGACGCUUCUCCUCGUUGCUACCACUAUAGUACCACACAACAACCACUCAGACGCCGACACGCGUUUGUUGUGGAACGUUGCAUGGAAAACAAAAAAAAUUCUACGCACACGCAAGACAUAUCCAUGGCGAUGAGAUUGUAUCCACAUACCCUUGUAGAUUGCUAAGAGGGGAGCGUUAAGAAACGCGGUUGAUGUAGUCGAACGUCUUCGUGAUGCAAAUUGCAAUCAGUCCAACGAACUCCGUCCUGAUCUACGGACGACACCUCCACGUUCAGCACACGUACAACUCGAUGACGAUCUCCGCCUUCUUGAUCCAGCAAGAGGGGCGGAGAGGUAGAUGAGUUCUCCGGCAGCACAACGUCGUGGUAGUGGUGAACUAAUUCAGCACGGCUUCGCCAAGCUCUGCUAAACUAAUCUAGAGAAGAAAACGAUCUAGAGAGAAAGAGGGCAGCAUGUGGCUUAUUAGGGUUAGGGCUGCUCUCAAAUCCUCUAGUAUAUAUAGGGGGGGGGGGAGGGGAGGAGGCAUCUAAAUAACCCUCCAAGGGUUCGGCCGAAUAGGUGGAGAUGGAAGAGUCCACCUCCAAUCCUACUCCAAGUAGGAUUCCUCUCCUACUUGGAAACCUCCCCUCCUUUGGGAUUUUUUCCUUCCCCCACCUCUUGGUCGCAUGGGCCCCUUGGGGCUGGCUCGGCCAGCCCACUAAGGGCUGGUGUGCCACUCCUAAAGCCCAUGUAGUCUCCCGGCGUGGGUGAUCCCUCCCGAUGGCCCUCCCGGCAUUUCUGGUACACUACCGAAAAUACACGAAACUUUCUCGGUGACCAAAAUGGGACUUUCUAUAUAUCAACCUUUACCUCUGGACCAUUCCGGAGCUCCUCGUGAUGUCCGGAUCUCAUUCGAGACUCCGAACAACUUUCAGUUACCAAUACACAUAACUCAAUAAUACCGAAACGUCACCGAACCUUAAGUGUGCAGACCCUACAGGUUCGAGAACCAUGUAGACAUGACCUGAGACACUCUCCGGUCAAUAACCAAUAGCGCGACCUAGAUGGCCAUAUUGGCUCCUACAUAUUCUACGAAGAUCUUUAUCGGUUGAACCUCUAUGUCAAGGAUUCAGUUAAUCUCGUAUGUUGUUCCCUUUGUCCAUCGGUAUGUUACUUGCCCGAGAUUCAAUCGAUGGUAUCUCUAUACCUAGUUCAAUCUCAUUACUGGCAAGUCUCUUUACUUGUUUCGUAAUACAUAAUCCCGUGGCUAACUCUUUAGUCACAUUUCUUGCAAGGCUUAUUGUGAUGUUGUAUUACCGAGUGGGCCCCGAGAUACCUGUCCGUCAUACAGAGUGACAAAUCCCAGUCUUGAUCCAUGUUAACUCAACGGGCACCUUCGGAGAUACCUGUAGAGCACCUUUGUAGUCACCCAGUUACGUUGCGAAAUUUGAUACACACAAGGUAUUCUUCCGGUGUCAGUGAGUUACAUGAUCUCAUGGUCAUAGGAACAUAUACUUGACAUGCAGAAAAACAGUAGCAAUAAAACGACACAAUCACAUGUUACGUUCAUAGUUUGGGUCUUGUCCAUCACAUCAUUCUCCUAAUGAUGUGACCCCAUUAUCAAGUAACAACACUUGUCUAUGGCCAAGAAACCUUGACCAUCUUUGAUCAAUGAGCUAGUCAACUAGAGGCUUACUAGGGACAGUGUGUUGUCUAUGUAUNNNNNNNNNNNNNNNNNNNNNNNNNNNNNNNNNNNNNNNNNNNNNNNNNNNNNNNNNNNNNNNNNNNNNNNNNNNNNNNNNNNNNNNNNNNNNNNNNNNNNNNNNNNNNNNNNNNNNNNNNNNNNNNNNNNNNNNNNNNNNNNNNNNNNNNNNNNNNNNNNNNNNNNNNNNNNNNNNCGCCUCUAGGGCAUAUUUCCAACAGUCUCCCACUUGCACUAGAGUCAAUAAUCUAGCUCACGUAACUAUGUGAUUUACAAUGUAACGAAUCUAACACUACAUGUUUCGCUCGUGGAAGCGGUUUAGUCAACGGGUCUACAACUUUCAGAUCUAUGUGCACUUUGCAAAUAUUUAUGUCCUCCUCCGUGAUGUAAUCGCGGAUAGAAUUGAAGCGUCGCUUUAUGUGUCUGCUCCUCUUGUGAAACCUUGGGUCCUUGGCUAGAGCAAUGGCACCAAUGUUGUCACAAAACAGAAUCAUUUGAUCCAGUGCACUGGGCACAACUCCAAGAUCUAUCAUGAACUGCUCUAUCGAGACACCUUCUUUAGUCGCCUGUGCAGCAGCUAUGUACUUUGCUUUGCAUGUAGAAUCAGCUACCACGCUUUGCUUGGAACUGCACCAUCUUACCGCACCCCCAUUAAUAAGAAAUACAUAUCCGGUUUGUGACUUAGAGUCAUCCGGAUGAGUGUCAAAUCUUGCAUCGACGUAACCCUUUACGACGAGCUCUUUGUCACCUCCAUAAACGAGAAACAUUUCCUUAGUCCUUUUCAGGUACUUCAGAAUAUUCUUGACCGUUGUCCAGUGCUCCAUUCCAGGAUUACUUUGAAACCUUCCCGCCAUACUUAUGGCAAGGCUGACAUCAGGUCUUGUGCACAGCAUUGCCUGCAUGAUAGACCCUAUGGCUGAAGCAUAAGGGACGACACUCAUCUUUUCUCUAUCUUCCGUAGUUACUAUCAUUGAGUCUUACUUAACUUUAUACCUUGUAACGCAUGCAAAAACCCCUUCUUGGACUGUUCCAUGUUGAAAUUCUUCAAAACUUUAUCAAGGUAUGUGCUCUAUGAAAGUCCUAUCAAGCGUCUUGAUCUAUCUCUAUAGAUCUUGAUGCCCAAUAUCUAAGCAGCUUCUCCGAGGUCCUUCACUGAAAAACUUUUAUUCAAGUAAUCCUUUACGCUUCCCAAAAGUUCUAUAUUGUUUCCAAUCAGCAAUAUGUCAUCUACAUAUAAUAUUAGAAACGCAAUAGAGCUCCCUGUUGGAAAUAUGCCCUAGAGGCAAUGAUAAAAUAGCUAUUAUUAUAUUUCCUGUUUCAAGAUAAUCGUUUAUUAUCCAUGCUAUAAUUGUAUUGAAUGAAAGCAUAGAUACAUGUGUGGAUAUUUAGACAAAACAAUGUCCCCAGCAAGCCUCUAGUUGGCUAGCCAGUUGAUCAAGGAUGGUUAAGGUUUUCUGACCAUACGCAAGUGUUGUCACUUGAUAACUGGAUCACAUCAUUAGGAGAAUCAUGUGAUGGANNNNNNNNNNNNNNNNNNNNNNNNNNNNNNNNNNNNNNNNNNNNNNNNNNNNNNNNNNNNNNNNNNNNNNNNNNNNNNNNNNNNNNNNNNNNNNNNNNNNAAUGAAGGAAACCAUUUAUUUUAUACUCUUGGCAUUUUAAAUAAAUGCAAAAAGCUACUGGUUUCAAGUUUAAAAUUUGAAAUCAGAAACUUUAAGUUUUCAAGAAUGUUGAAAACUUUAGGAAUGGUUGGAUACAUUCCAACUAAUAUUCUGGUGUGUUCAAAAUGUUUUUACAAACUAUUUUGGAGCUGAAAUAAAUAGCAAAACAAUAGUUAGCAAAACAGAAACAAAAACAGAAAAGAAAUAAGAGAAAGGAAUGGCUCACCUCUAUCUGUCGCAGGCCCAGCCCACCAGGGGCUCCCCGGUCAUCUUCCUCCUCCUGCCAGUAGGCAGGGGAGAAGAUGAGCACGGCGGCCAAGCCCGGCCACCUCCUGCCUGCCUUCUCGCUGCUGGAGGCCUCCAGGAGUGCCAGCGCGACGCCGGUGCCUUCUUAUCCUCCUCCCCGCGGCUCUGUCCUCUCCCCUAGGCCUCUCGAUCCCCUUCCCCUCUCGGAUCUCUCUCNNNNNNNNNNNNNNNNNNNNNNNNNNNNNNNNNNNNNNNNNNNNNNNNNNNNNNNNNNNNNNNNNNNNNNNNNNNNNNNNNNNNNNNNNNNNNNNNNNNNCUAACGUGGCAAAAGCAUUUGAAGCAUUUGAUCCUAAUGCAAUAAGUAAGUGCAGGAUCAGGAACAUGGGAUUUAUCGGGACGAUCAAAAUGGUUGCUUGCCUUGUUGCUCAGAGGAGUGACAAUAUCCGUCAGACGGAUAUUCUGUGGAAUCCGGGGGAGCGGAGCCUACCGAAAGAAAUGACAACAAUCAAUAUCAAGCAUAUGCAAUCAAGAUGAUGCAUGAGCAUGGCAUGAGAAUGCAAGGUGAUAUACUAUUAAAACUAACAUGUAUUAGGUUUGAAGUUGAUUUGAAUCACAUUCAAAUAUCACUUCAAACGAGGUAUUCUCGGAUACCAUUUUAAUUGAUUCGACCUGAUGCUCAGAUCAACUCGCUUUUAACAUGCAUGGGAUGACAUGUUAGGUUGCUGGUUUGUAAUUAGGACAGUGUUUGAUCAUGUCAUUUAUAGUGAAAUUUAAAUAUUUUCCAAAUUCCAUCUACAAAGUAAUUAUAAGAAUUAACUUAUUCAUUAAUAUACAUGUUUGGGUUCUGCAACAUUUUCAAACAUGUUUGAAAAUGACAUNNNNNNNNNNAUUUGAUCAUGUCAAACAUGGUGAAAUUUAAAUAUUUUCCAUAUUCCAUUUAUAAAGUAUUUAUAAGAAUUGACUUAUUCAUUAAUCUACCUGUUUGGGUUCUGUAACAUUUUCAAACAUGUUUGAAAAUGACAUAUUCNNNNNNNNNNGAUACUUUUUCAUAUUUAAAUUAUUUUCAUUGGAGUUACAGAUUAAUUUCUAUGAAUUUUAGAAGUUUUAAAGAUUUCUGGAAUUAUUUUUAUACUGGAAAACCCCUUUAUUGCGUCAUUACUGCGUCAUCAUGGCGUCAGCAGGUCAACUAACCUGUUCAGGUCAAACCUGACAGGGGGGACCCACUGGUCAGUGUCUCAGGGGCUAAUCCCGCGCUGACCAGCCCCUAAGUGGGUUUGACUUNNNNNNNNNNNNNNNNNNNNNNNNNNNNNNNNNNNNNNNNNNNNNNNNNNNNNNNNNNNNNNNNNNNNNNNNNNNNNNNNNNNNNNNNNNNNNNNNNNNNAUAUAUAUAGGGGGGAGGGGCUGCGCCCUCCUGAGGGUUUCCCUCUCCUGGGAGGGGCGGCAACCCUAGAUGGGAGGAGGUGCGACGGCCAGGAGGGGAGGAGGGGUGGCGCACCCUUCUGGUGGGCCUUAGGCCCACCUGCACCAGGGUUUCCCCCCUCUCCCCUCUUCUUGCGCCAUGGGCUGAGUGUGGGGGCGCACCAACCCACCUAGGGGCUGGUUCCCUCCCGCACUUGGCCCAUCUAGCCUCUCGGGGUGGUGGCCCCCUUCCGGUGGACCCCCGGGGCCACUUCCGGUGGUCCCGAUGGUCCCAGUACGUUACCGGCGACGCCCGAAACACUUCCGGUGUCCAAAACCAUCCGUCCUAUAUAUCAAUCUUUACCUCCGGAUCAUUCCGGAGCUCCUCGUGACGUCCGGGAUCUCAUCCGGGACUCCGAACAACUUUCAGUAACCUUGUAUAACAAUUCCCUAUAAUACUAGCGUCAUCGAACCUUAAGUGUGUAGACCCUACGGGUUUGGGAGAUAGGCAGACAUGACCGAGACACCUCUCCGGCCAAUAACCAUCAGCGGGGNNNNNNNNNNUCUGGAUACCCAUGGUGGCUCCCACUUGCUCCACGAUGAUCUCAUCGGAUGAACCACGAUGUCAAGGAUUCAAUCAACCCCGUAUACAAUUCCCUUUGUCUGUCGGUAUAGAACUUGCCCGAGAUUCGAUCGUCGGUAUACCUAUACCUUGUUCAAUCUCGUUACCGGUAAGUCUCUUUACUCGUUCCGUAGCACGUCAUCGUGUGACUAACUCCUUAGUCACAUUGAGCUCAUGAUGAUGUUCUACCGAGUGGGCCCAGAUAUACCUCUCCGUCACGCGGAGUGAAAAAUCCCGAUCUCGAUUCGUACCAACCCAACAGACACGUUCAGAGGUACCCGUAGUGCACCUUUAUAGUCACCCAGUUACGUUGUGACGUUUGAUACACCCAAAGCACUCCUACGGUAUCCCAGAGUUGCACAAUCUCAUGGUCGAAGGAAAAGACACUUGACAUUAGAAAAGCUUUAGCAUACGAACAAUACGAUCUAGUGCUAUGCUUAGGAUUGGGUCUUGUCCAUCACAUCAUUCUCCCAAUGAUGUGAUCCCGUUAUCAAUGACAUCUAAUGACCAUGAUCAGGAAACCAUGAUCAUCUAUUGAUCAACGAGCUAGCCAACNNNNNNNNNNCGAUUGGGUCUUGUCCACAUCAUUCUCCCAAUGAUGUGAUCCCGUUAUCAAUGACAUCUAAUGCCCAUGAUCAGGAAACCAUGAUCAUCUAUUGAUCAACGAGCUAGCCAACUAGAGGCUUUCUAGGGACACAUUGUGAUCUAUUUAUUCACACAUGUAUUACUGUUUCCUGUUAAUACAAUUAUAGCAUGAACAAUAGACGAUUNNNNNNNNNNNNNNNNNNNNNNNNNNNNNNNNNNNNNNNNNNNNNNNNNNNNNNNNNNNNNNNNNNNNNNNNNNNNNNNNNNNNNNNNNNNNNNNNNNNNCUUAAGAAGAUGACAUGAUGUAGAGGGAUAAUCUCAAACCAAUGAUGAAAACCCNNNNNNNNNNAACAAACAGAGUAACGCCUCAAUCAAGAUGACAUGAUGUAGAGGGAUAAAUUCAUGCAAUCGAUAUAAACCCCAUCUUUUUACCCUUGAUGGCAACAACACAAUGCGUGCCUCGNNNNNNNNNNNNNNNNNNNNNNNNNNNNNNNNNNNNNNNNNNNNNNNNNNNNNNNNNNNNNNNNNNNNNNNNNNNNNNNNNNNNNNNNNNNNNNNNNNNNNNNNNNNNNNNNNNNNNNNNNNNNNNNNNNNNNNNNNNNNNNNNNNNNNNNNNNNNNNNNNNNNNNNNNNNUAUAGAUCAAGUUGGCCAAACGAAACCCACAACUCGAAGAGAAUUACAAGGAUAUGAAAUCAUGCAUAUAAGAGAUCAGAAGAAACUCAAAUAAGAUUCAUAGAUAAUCUGAUCAUAAAUCCACAAUUCAUCAGAUCUCGACAAACACACCGCAAAAGAGGUUACAUCGGAUAGAUCUCCAUGAAGAUCAUGGAGAACUUUGUAUUGAAGAUCCAAGAGAGAGAAGAAGCCAUCUAGCUACUAGCUAUGGACCCGAAGGUCUGUGGUGAACUCCUGCUAGGUGUUGAUGAAGAAGCCCUCCGUGUUCGAAUCCCCCUCCGGCAGGGCACCAGAACGUGCCCCAGAUGGGAUCUUGCGGAGACAGAAGCUUGCGGCGGCGGAAAAGUAUUUUCGUGGCUCUCUCCCGUGGUUUCAGAUUUUUUGGGGAUUUAUAGGUGGAAGAAGUAGGGCAAAGGAGCCACGGGGGGCCCACAAGCCUGCUAGGCGCGCCCCCCAGGCCGCGGUUAGGGGGCUUGUGGCCUCCCCCGGGACCCUUUGCCUUGGUUCUCUAGCUCCCUGCGUAUCUUCUGUUCCGGAAAAAAAAAUCUUUUCGGAGGUUUUAUUCCGUUUGGACUCCGUUUGAUAUUCUCCUCUGAAAAAGGUCAAAAACACGGAAAAAUAGGAACUGGCACUGAGUUAAUAAGUUAGUCCCAAAAGAUAUAAAAUGCAUACAAAACAUCCAAAGUUUGACAAGAUAAUAGCAUGGAACCAUCAAAAAUUAUAGANNNNNNNNNNUGUAUCAAGCAUCCACAAGCUUAACUCCUGCUCGUCCUCGAGUAGGGAAGUGAUAGAGACUGAAUUUUUUAUGUGGAAUGCUACCUAGCAUAUUUGUCCUUUGUAACUUCUUUCAUGCAACAUGAAUGUUCAGACCCGUAAGAUUCAAAACAAUAGUUUGCUAUUGGCAUGAAAACAAUAAUACUUCAAGCAAACUAGCAAGGUAAUCAUGAACUUUCGAAAUAACAAGGCCAAAGAAAGUUAUCCCUACAAAAUCAUAUAGUCUGGCUAUGCUCCAUCAUCCCCACACAACGAAUUUAAAUCAUGCACAACCCCGGUAUUCGCCAAGUAAUUGUUUUCGCACUUUUACUUUCUCGAACCUUUUUCAACUCUCACGCAAUACAUGAGCGUGAGCCAUGGAUAUAGCACUAUAGGUGGAAUAGAGUGUGGUGGAGGUUGUGAGGCAAAAAGGAGGAGAUGGUCACAUCGACUCGGCGUAUCAAAGGGCUAUGGAGAUGCCCAUCAAUAGAGAUCAAUGUGAAUGAGUAGGGAUUACCAUGCAAUGGAUGCACUUAGAGCUAUGAGUGUGUGAAAGCUCAAAAGGAGAAUAGUGGGUGUGCAUCCAACUUGCUUGCUCACGAAGACCUAGGGCAAUUUUGAGGAAGCCCAUCAUUCGAAUAUACAAGCCAAGUUACAUAAUGAAGAUUCCCACUAGUAUAUGGUGGUGACAAAACAAGAGGCUCUCAAUCAUGAAGAACAUGGUGCUAUUAUGAAGCACAAGUGUGGANNNNNNNNNNUUCUUUCUCUCUCUCUCUCUCUUUUUGGGGCUCUUCGGCCUCUUUUCAUUUUUUUUCCUUUUUUUUGGUGGGCAUAUUUGGCCUCUUUUCAUUUUUCCUGACAUGGGACAAUGCUCUAAUAAUGAUGAUCAUCACACUUUAUUUACUCACAGCUCAAUGCUUAGAACGAUGAUGACUCUAUAGGAAAUGCCUCUGGUAGUGUACCGGGAUGUGCAACGAUCUAGCUUGGCGUAGGACGUUGAAACAUCUCACUAGCUAUCUUACGAUCGUGCAAUGGCAAUAUGUAAGUGACGACACAAGUCAUGAGACGGAAUGGUGGGAGUUGCAUGGCAAUAUAUCUCGGAAUGGCUAUGAAAAGGCCAUGAUAGGUAGGUAUGCUGGCUGUUUUGAGGAAGGUCUAUGGUGGUUUUGUGUAUCGGCAAAAGUUGCGCGGCAUUAGAGAGGCUAGAAAUGGUGGAAGGUGAAAGUGCAUCUAUACCAUGGACUCCCAUUAGUCAUGAAGAACUCACAUACUUAUUGCGAAAGUUUUUAUUAGUAAUCAGAACAAAGUGCUAAAUGCAUACUCCUAGGGGAAGGGUUGGUAGGUGUUAACCAUCGCGCGUUCCCGACCGCAACACAAAGGAUGACAAUCAAUAAAUCAAUUAUGCUUCGACUUCCUAACAUAGCGAUUCACCAUACGUGCAUGUUACGGGAAUCACUAACUUCAACACAAGUAUUUCUAGAUUCACAACACCCUACUAACAUGACUCUAAUAUUACCAAAUCCAUGUCUCAAAACUAAUUGAGAGGAAUCAAACUUCUCUUUCUAAUCAAUGCACAUGAAUAUGGAAGUUUUUAUUGUAUCCUCUUUGGAUGCCUAUCAACUUUAGGACUACUUUCAUAGCACAAGCCAACUACCCACCUACUCAAAGAGAGCACUCUCAAAAAGAUAUAAGUGAAGAUCGAGAGUUCUUAUUUAUCCAAAAUAUGACACUACCGUGCUCUAAAAAGAUCUAAGUGAAGCACUUAGAGCAAAGUUAUCUAGCUCAAAAGAUAUAAGUGGAGCAGAUGCGAGCUAAAUUGCCUAACUCAAAAGAUAUAAGCGAAGCUCAAUGAGUAUUCUAGCAAAUUCACGAUGAGUGCAUGUAUCUCUCAAAAGAUGUGCAGCAAGGAUGAUUGUUACACAACAAAAAGAAAAGACUCCUAUAAUACACGACGCUCCAAGCAAAACACAUAUCAUGUGGUGAAUAAAAAUAUAGCUCCAAGUAAUGUUACCGAUGGAUUGAAGACGAAAGAGGGGAUGCCUUCCCGGGGCAUCCCUAAGCUUAGGCUUUUUGGUGUCCUUGAAUUUGGCUUGGGAUGCCUUGGGCAUCCCCAAGCUUGAGCUCUUUCCACUCCUUAUCUCUUUCUCCAUGAGAACAUCACCCAAAACUUGAAAACUUCACAACACAAAACUUNNNNNNNNNNNNNNNNNNNNNNNNNNNNNNNNNNNNNNNNNNNNNNNNNNNNNNNNNNNNNNNNNNNNNNNNNNNNNNNNNNNNNNNNNNNNNNNNNNNNACGCAUCACUUUGCGGUCUCACGCACGGUUAAUCCCAUGGCUGUAGCCUAACCUUAGCCGGGACCGUUUGCGCCUUUUGACUCACGUAUGCAAUUGUGUCGCUAGCAUUCCAAUGUCAAAGAACCCGGAUCGACAAGUCUAGUCAUAAACCAAAGUGGCAGUACCGCACAAGGACAGGCAUACAUGACCCAACAAAGCAGGUGUCGGUCACCAGCGAAUGUAGACGAGUCGUAGCAAGCUACAAGGACUCCAUUACAUCGCGUGACAUUUCCAAAGGGGACAGACACAGCAGCUAAGAAGGACACAUGCCGGUCAACCAAUGUGUCCGGAGCAGUAGCGAGCUACCAUGGCUCGUUGGNNNNNNNNNNUCAGCUAAGAAGGACACAUGCCGAUCAACCAAUGUGUCCGGAGCAGUAGCGAGCUACCAUGGCUCGUUGGAUNNNNNNNNNNGCAGCUAAGAAGGACACAUGCUGGUCAACCAAUGUGUCCGGAGCAGUAGCGAGCUACCAUGGCUCGUUGGAACACAAAGGGGCAUUUCCCUGUAAGGAGUGCUACUAAAGUUCACGACUAGGUAAUCGAACCCCAUACAUAUCAAGUACGACAGACGUACGCAUGGCAUACCGAUAUGUAUAGAUACAUCGAUGGCAUCACAACAUAACCAUAAACAUACAAGCUUUAUUUAAGAGGCUCGGAAGAGCCACACACAUAAUAUUACACAGUAAGCGUCUCACGACCCAUAAUAGGAGUCAUUCAGUUACAAGCCAGCGGAAGUGUUUAAAACUGUCUGAGUACAGACAGGUGCAACUAGAAGGCACAUGGCCUGACUAUACUACAGACCCAACCUAGNNNNNNNNNNAGAAGAGCCACACACAUAAUUUUACACAGUAAGGGUCUCACGACCCAUAAUAGCAGUCAUUCAGUUACAAGCCAGCGGAAGAAUUUAAAACUAUCUGAGUACAGACAGGGCAACUAGAAGGCACAUGGCCUGACUAUACUACAGACCCAACCUAGGGCCAGAUCGUAGCUGGGACACUAGGGUCAUUAGCAACCUCUGCAACAUUUAUUAAGCAAAUAUGAGUACGGAGGUACUUAGCAAGACUUUAGGAUAACUAUCUACUCAUGCAAUGUAUCAAUAAGGUAUUGUGGGGUUUCAUGCGGAAAGCCAGCAUUUGACUCGUGGCUAGACAACUUGCAUUUUUUUAAAUAAUUUUGACAACUUGUUUUCUCGCACUCGAGUCCACUAACACCACAACAAUACUCUAUCGUGGAAUCAUUCCGUCUCCAUACGGAAAUGCCGUCCACGACACUCACGCUUAUCUUGACAAUUUUAUGAGUAGACAUUGAAGUUAUCUAUGAACAACAUAUGUCUCCAAGUAGUCCAUAUCCGCAGACGCAGCUAUUCGAAUAGAUCAUAACCCUACAGGGGUGUACUUCGUCACACACGCUCUCGCCACUUAUCGCCAUGUGCACGUCCUGCACCUCGGGAACCUUCAAGCGGAAGCCCAGCGAGGGAGUCGGCCACGACCGUUAACCACGUUAAUACCUAGUCCAGGUUUAUCGCCUAUCUGAGAGUAACCCGUACGGAAGUCCGGCCAAGGUUUCCGCCACGGCCUCAAACGAUGUGCGCAGGGUUCCCAAGCCCACCAUCCGGGUGCCACUUGNNNNNNNNNNUAGCGAGGGAGUCGGCCACGACCGUCAACCACACUAGUACCUAGUCUAGGUUUAUCGCCUAUCUGAGGGUAACCCGCACGAAAGUCCGGCCGAGGUUUCCGUCACGGCCCCAAACGAUGUGCGCAGGGUUCCCAAGCCCACCAUCCGGGUGCCACUUGGUACACCGUGCCACUGCCUACCGCAUCACAGCCCACCUCUCAGGUCAGCACCAUGCACGGCCUCCAGCAUGACUAUGAACACCAGAAACUACUUGCAACUCCUGGACCGAGUACUAAGCGAUUAAUAAGUUGAGCGGGGUCAUAUUUCAGGGCCCAUCAUGUGGUAGUAUCUCGUCUUGGAUUACAUACAUGGAACUCAGUUCCUAAGGACGGUUCCAAUGAAACACCCGCCAUGUACUCCUACAUAGCCUUUCACCGGUACCUUUACCAAAUNNNNNNNNNNNNNNNNNNNNNNNNNNNNNNNNNNNNNNNNNNNNNNNNNNNNNNNNNNNNNNNNNNNNNNNNNNNNNNNNNNNNNNNNNNNNNNNNNNNNAAACCCGUAAGUUUACGGGUAAACGUUUAACCGUAAAAACGUUUAAACCGUUUACGGGGUUACCCCGGUUAAAAAAUUUAAACCCGAAAAACCCGAGGCAAACCGUMMCMAUGUCAUCCCAUGCAUGUUAACAUCAAGUUGAUCUGAGCAUCAGGUCGAAUCAAUUAAAAUGGUAUCCGAGAUACCUCGUUUGAAGUGAUAUUUGAAUGUGAUUCAAAUCAACUUCAAACCUAAUACAUGUUAGUUUUAAUAGUAUAUCACCUUGCAUUCUCAUGCCAUGCUCAUGCAUCAUCUUGAUUGCAUAUGCUUGAUAUUGAUUGUUGUCAUUUCUUUCGGUAGGCUCCGCUCCCCCGGAUUCCACAGAAUAUCCGUCUGACGGAUAUUGUCACUCCUCUGAGCAACAAGGCAAGCAACCAUUUUGAUCGUCCCGAUAAAUCCCAUGUUCCUGAUCCUGCACUUACUUAUUGCAUUAGGAUCAAAUGCUUCAAAUGCUUUUGCCACGUUAGUUGAACCCACUUCCUUUGCAUGGCCUAUCCUUGUCACAGUAAAUAGCCGAACCUUGCAACCUAGCAUACCUGGUAGUUGCUUGAGCCAUGAUGUGUCUUAUCCUGCUAUGCAUGCUAUGCUUAGAGUUGUGUAUGGUCUGUCAUCUUGGAGAUGAACAAAAUUGUGAGAAUGUGUUCGGUAAGCAAAGGUUGUGUGUUGAACCUGAUUUGGUAAAGGUACCGGUGAAAGGCUAUGUAGGAGUACAUGGCGGGUGUUUCAUUGGAACCGUCCUUAGGAACUGAGUUCCAUGUAUGUAAUCCAAGACGAGAUACUACCACAUGAUGGGCCCUGAAAUAUGACCCCGCUCAACUUAUUAAUCGCUUAGUACUCGGUCCAGGAGUUGCAAGUAGUUUCUGGUGUUCAUAGUCAUGCUGGAGGCCGUGCAUGGUGCUGACCUGAGAGGUGGGCUGUGAUGCGGUAGGCAGUGGCACGGUGUACCAAGUGGCACCCGGAUGGUGGGCUUGGGAACCCUGCGCACAUCGUUUGGGGCCGUGACGGAAACCUCGGCCGGACUUUCGUGCGGGUUACCCUCAGAUAGGCGAUAAACCUAGACUAGGUACUAGUGUGGUUGACGGUCGUGGCCGACUCCCUCGCUAGGCUUCCGCUUGAAGGUUGCCGAGGUGCAUGACGUGCACAUGGCGAUAAGUGGCGAGAGCGUGUGUGACGAAGUACACCCCUGCAGGGUUAUGAUCUAUUCGAAUAGCCGCGUCCGCGGAUAUGGACUACUUGGAGACAUAUGUUGUUCAUAGAUAACUUAAAUGGCUACUCAUAAAAUUGUCAAGAUAAGCGUGAGUGUCGUGGACGACAUUUCUGUAUGGAGGCGGAAUGAUUCCACGAUGGGGUAUUGUUGUGGUGUUAGUGGACUCGUGUGCGAGAAAUCAAGUUGUCAAAAUUACUUAAAAUGCAAGUUGUGUAGCCACGAGUCAAAUGCUGGCUUUCCACAUGAAACCCCACCAUCUGGCCCUAGGUUGGGUCUGUAGUAUAGUCAGGCCAUGUGCCUUCUAGUUGCCCUGUCUGUACUCAGAUAGUUUUAAAUUCUUCCGCUGGCUUGUAACUGAAUGACUGCUAUUAUGGGUCGUGAGACCCUUACUGUGUAAAAUUAUGUGUGUGGCUCUUCUGAGCCUCUUAAAUAAAGCUUGUAUGUUUAUGGUUAUGUUGUGAUGCCAUCGAUGUAUCUAUACAUAUCGGUAUGCCAUGCGUACGUGUGUCGUACUUGAUAUGUAUGGGGUUCGAUUACCUAGUUGUGAACUUUAGUAGCACUCCUUACAAGGAAAUGCCCCUUUGUGAUCCAACGAGCCAUGGUAGCUCGCUACUGCUCCGGACACAUUGGUUGACCGGCAUGUGUCCUUCUUAGCUGCUGUGUCUGUCCCCUUUGGAAAUGUCACGCGAUGUAAUGGAGUCCUUGUAGCUUGCUACGACUCGUCUACACUCGCUGGUGACCGACACCUGCUUUGUUGGGUCAUGUAUGCCUGUCUACUGCCACUUUGGAUUAUGACUAGACUUGUCGAUCCAGGUUCUUUGACAUUGGAAUGCUAGCGAGACUAUUGCAUACGUGAGUCAAAAGACACAAACGGUCCCGGCUAAGGUAAGGCUGCAGUCGUGGAGUUAACCGUGCGUGAGACCGCAAAGGAAUGCGAUGUGUUACAGGCUGGAUUCCUAUGGCUUAGGAUCGGGGUCCCGACAGUUCAUAACAUCUGGGGUCGCCGGUGGGGUGGUGCAUCACCUAGCGGUGCAUCAAGGACAUAUUGUUUUUGGACAGCCAUGAGGAUAAGCCUCAGAUUACGGGCCCAGUCAACAAAGUUGCUUCCAUCAUCUUUCGGUUUAGCUUUCUCUAGGAACACAUUAAAAUUAAGGGUUGCUACAGCGCGAGUCAUUGAUCUACAACAUCAAAUUUGAAAAGAUUACUUAGACUAUGUUCAAAAUAAUUGAGUUUAGUUAAUCAUAUUACUAAUAAACUCCCACUCAAAUUGACAUCCCUCUAGUCAUUAGAAUGACAUAUGAUCCAAAUUCACUAACUCAAGUGUGAUCAUCACGUGAGUUAAGUUAGUUUCAAUGGUGAACAUCUCUAUGUUGAUCAUAUCAACUAUAUGACUCAUGUUCUACCUUUAGGUCUCUUGUGUUCUGAGGCCAUGUAUGUACAUGCUAGGCCGGUCAAGUUUAACUCGAGUAUUCCACAUGUGCAACUAUUUUGCACCCGUUGUAUGUGGUCAUAGAGUCUAUCACACCCCAUCAUCACGUGGUGCCUCAAAACGACGAACUGUUGCAACGGUGCACACUCGGGGAGAACACAAUUUUAUCUUGAAAUUUUAGUGAGGGAUCACCUUAUAAUGCUAUCGUCGUCCUAAGCAAAAUAAGUUGCAUAAAAGGAUUAACAUCACAUGCAAAUCAUAAGUGACAUGCUAUAGUGCUACCUCUUGAGCUUGCGUUGGUUUUUCCCUUGAAGAGGAAAGGGUGAUGCAGCACAGUAGCAGUAAGUAUUUCCCUCAGUUUGAGAACCAAGGUAUCAAUCCAGUAGGACUAUCAAGGCAAGUCUCCAAAGUACCUGCGCAAAAAACAGCAACUUGCACCCAAUGCUACAAAGGGGUUGUCAAUCCCUUCACGGUUGAUUGCAAGGUAAGAUCUUAAGGCGGAAGGUGCAACAAAGUAAAAGUGUAAGGCUAAAAAAUAUGGUGUGAAGUAGACACGGGGGCCAUAGUGUUCACUAGAGGCUUCUCUCAUGAUAGCAAAUAUUAUGGUGGGUGAACGAAUUACUGUCGAGCAAUUGAUAGAACCGCGCAAAGUCAUGACGAUAUCUAAGGCAAUGAUCAUACAUAUAGGCAUCACGUCCGAGACAAGUAGACCGAUACUUUCUGCAUCUACUACUAUUACUCCACACAUCGACCGCUAUCCAGCAUGCAUCUAGUGUAUUGAGUUCAUGACGAAUAGAGUAACGCCUUAAGCAAGAUGACAUGAUGUAGAGGGAUAAUCUCAAACCAAUGAUGAAACCCCAUCUUUUUACCCUUGAUGGCAACAACAUGAUGCGUGCCUCGCUACCCCUUCUGUCACUGGGUGAGGUCACCGCACGGUAUGAACCCAAAACCAAGCACUUCUCCCAUUGCAAGAAUCAUAGAUCUAGUUGGCCAGGCAAAACCCACAACUCGAAGAGAAUUACAAGGAUAUGAAAUCAUGCAUAAGAGAGAUCAGAAGAAACUCAAAUAAGAUUCAUAGAUAAUCUGAUCAUAAAUCCAUAAUUCAUCGGAUCUCGACAAACACACCGCAAAAGAAGAUUACAUCGGAUAGAUCUCCAUGAAGAUCAUGGAAAACUUUGUAUUGAAGAUCCAAGAGAGAGAAGAAGCCAUCUAAUUACUAGCUAUGGACCCGUAGGUCUAUGGUGAACUACUCACGCAUCAUCGGAGAGGUCAUGGUGUUGAAGAAGCCCUCCGUAUUCGAAUCCCCCUCCGGCAGGGCACCAAAGCGUGCCCCAGAUGGGGAUCUUGCGUGGAUAGAAGCUUGCGGCGGCGGAAAAGUACUUUCGAUGAUCUCCUGAUUUUUUGUGGAAMUUUUCUSGGGGAUAUAUAGGCGCGAAACCCUAAGGGCAAAAGGUAGGUCCUAGGGGGGACCCUACAAGCCUGUGGGCUGCGGCCUCCCCCUGGCCNNNNNNNNNNNNNNNNNNNNNNNNNNNNNNNNNNNNNNNNNNNNNNNNNNNNNNNNNNNNNNNNNNNNNNNNNNNNNNNNNNNNNNNNNNNNNNNNNNNNCGUUCCUAAUGAUAAGAAUGAAUUAAUCCCACAAAGGAUUAUUACUGGCUAAAGGAUGGUGAUAGACUUCCAGAAACUGGAAGAAAGGGCCAAACCCAGGAAAAGACCCAUUUAUCCCUUUGUCGUUUAUCGACCAAAUGCUAGAAAGGCUAUCCAAACACACACACUUCUGCUUUCUAGACGGUUAUUCAGGUUUCUCACAAAUACCUGUUGCACAAUCUGAUCAGGAGAAAACCACUUACACCUGCCCCUUCGGUACCUUUCCCUAUAGACGUAUGCCUUUUGGCUUAUGCAAUGCACCUGCCACCUUUCAAAGAUGUAUGAUGGCUAUAUUCUCUGACUUUUGUGAAAAGAUUGUCGAGGUUUUCAUGGAUGACUUCUCUGUUUACGGGUCUUCCUUUGAUGAUUGCCUCAGCAACCUUGAUCGAGUCUUACAGAGAUGCAGAGAUACCAACCUCGUCUUGAAUUGGGAGAAGUGCCACUUUAUGGGUUAAUGAAGGCAUUGUCUUAGGACACAAAAUCUCUGAAAGAGGCAUUGAGGUUUAUAAGGCUAAGGUUGAUGCAAUUGAGAAAAAUGCCCUUUCCCCACAGAUAUCAGAGGUAUACGAAGUUUCCUAGGUCAUGUUGGUUUCUAUAGAAGGUUCAUUAAAGACUUCUCUAAGAUUUCUAGGCCUCUUACCAACCUCUUGCAGAAGGAUGUUCCUUUUGUUUUUGAUGAGGAUUGUGAGGAAGCUUUCGAAAUACUUAAGAAGGCUUUGAUAACUGCACCUAUUGUUCAACCACCUGACUUGAACUUGCCCUUUGAAAUCAUGUGUGAAGCUAGUGAUUAUGUUGUUGGUGUUGUUCUAGGACAAAGAGUUGACAAGAAGUUGAAUGUUAUUCACUACGCUAGUAAAACUCUAGAUAGUGCCCAAAGAAACUAUGCCACUACGGAAAAGGAGUUUUUAGCAGUCGUGUUUGCAUGUGAAAAGUUCAGAUCUUAUAUAGUUGACUCCAAAGCACUAUUCACUCUGAUCAUGCUGCUAUUAAGUACCUUAUGGAGAAGAAGGACACUAAGCCUAGGAUGAUCACAUGGGUUCUUCUGCUACAGGAAUUUGAUUUGCAUGUCGUUGACCGAAAGGGUGCUGAUAACCCUGUAGCAGAUAACUUGUCUAGGCUAGAGAAUGUCCUUGAUGACCCACUACCUAUUGAUGACAGCUUUCCUGAUGAGCAACUAAAUAUCAUCCGCACUUCACAUAGUGCACCCUGGUAUGCUGAUUACGCAAACUAUAUCGUAGCCAAAUACAUACCACCCAGUUUCACCUAUCAGCAAAAGAAGAAAUUCUUCUUUGAUUUGAGACACUACUUUUGGGAUGAUCCUCACCUUUAUAAGGAAGGAGUAGAUCGUGUUAUUAGAUCGUUGUGUGCCUGAACAUGAACAGGGGCAGAUCCUGCAGAAGUGUCAUUCCGAAGCCUACGGAGGACACCAUGCUGGAGAUAGAACUACUCAUAAGGUAUUGCAAUCAGGUUUCUAUUGGCCCACUCUCUUCAAGGAUGCCCGUAAGUUUGUCUUGUCUUGUGACAAAUGCCAAAGAAUAGGGAACAUCAGUAAGCGUCAAGAAAUGCCUAUGAACUAUUCACUUGUCAUUGAACCAUUUGAUGUCCGGGGCUUUGAUUAUAUGGGACCCUUCCCGAGUUCCAAUGGGUACACUCACAUCUUAGUUGUUGUGGAUUACGUCACUAAGUGGGUAGAAGCUAUCCCCACUAAAAAUGACGAUCACCACACCUCUAUUAAGAUGCUUAAAGAAGUCAUUUUCCCAAGAUUUGGAGUCCCUAGAUAUUUGAUGGCUGAUGGCGGUUCACACUUCAUUCAUGAUGUUUUCCGCAAGAUGCUCGCUAAAAUGAUGUCAACCAUAGAGUUGCAUCUCCUUAUCAUCCUCAGUCUAGUGGUCAAGUGGAGUUGAGUAAUAGGGAGAUCAAAUUGAUCUUACAAAAGACCGUCAAUAGAUCUCGAAAGAAUUGGUCUAGCAAACUUGACGAUGCACUAUGGGCUUAUAGGACUGCUUAUAAGAAUCCCAUGGGCAUGUCGCCGUAUAAAAUGGUUUAUGGUAAGGCCUGUCAUUUACCUCUUGAGCUGGAACACAAAGCUUAUUGGGCAAUCAAAGAGCUCAACUUCGAUUUCAAACUUGCCGGUGAGAAGCGGUUGUUUGAUAUCAGUUCAUUAGAUGAAUGGAGGGCCCAGGCAUAUGAGAAUGCCAAGUUGGUCAAGGAAAAGGUUAAGAGAUGGCACGACAAACGAAUACAGAAACGAGAGUUAAAUGUAGGAGAUUAUGUCCUGCUAUACAAUUCUCGCUUAAGAUUCUUCGCAGGCAAGCUUCUCUCUAAAUGGGAAGGUCCUUAUGUUAUCGAGGAAGUAUAUCAUUCCGGUGCCAUCAAAAUCAAUAACACGGAAGGAAAAUUUCCUAGAGUGGUAAAUGGGCAAAGAAUCAAGCAUUAUAUCUCCGGUACUCCCAUAAAUGUUGAGACCAAUGUCAUCAAUAUCAUAACUCCAGAGGAGUACAUAAGGGAUGUUUAUCGGCCUGUUUCAGACCCUGAAAACGAAGAGGUGUCUGUUUCAGUAAGUAAUUGGACUCCGAAGCUUUUCCAAUAGGAAAUUUCCUCGUUUUGGAAUUUUUGGAAAAUUAGAAAAAUAAAAAACAGUCCAAAGAGUGCACGAGGCGGCCACAAGCUUGGUAGCCGCCACCUACCCCCUUGGUGGCGGCUAGAGGGAUUGUGGGCACCUCGUGUGCCUCCCGGACUCCGUUUUCUUGCGGAGCACUCCUUAUGGUCCAGAAAAAAUCAUUAUAUAUACGCCCGAAGGUUUUGAUCUCCGUAUCACGUGGUUUUCCUCUGUUUUCGUUUCGAGCCUGUUGUCUGCCGCAGAUUUAGGUCAAGAUGUCUUCUCAAGAUUCAGAAGAAGAGAUCUAUGUGGCCGAGGAUCGUGCUAACUCCAGGAUUAAUGGGGACUUGGAACCAUAUGGCUGGACCACUGACGAGGAAGAGGAUUAUGAGCCAAAGGGGAAAGAACAAACGAGUUCCGAUGAAGAGGAGGCUCCUUUACCUCAACCUGCAAACACCCAUGUGGAGUUCAAGAAGUCAAGCCUCCCCAACUCUAGGAAGAAGCCUAAGACCAUAUUUAUCCCCUCUCGUUUCUUGCAGGAGCGUAAGCAGGAACUUUGCCUUAGAGUGUUGAAACUUGAGGAGGAAAAUGACGAUCUGAGGGAGCAGAACUUUUUGCUCAAGUGGAAAUUAGACAAGCUCAAGACUGCUUCAACAACUCCACCACCAUCACCACCAAAGGAAGACAACUAAGCAUUGGUAUGGGAAAUCCCCUUGGCUUUUUCCAAGCUUGGGGGAGUUGCCCUGGUAUCGUAUCACCUUUAUAUCUUUUGCUUUUACCUUUCUUUUAGUUCUUUCCUUUUCAGUUUUUAUUUCUUCUCUUAGAGGAAUAAGUCUUUAGUGUUUAGUUUGAGUCUUUUGCCUUGUGUCUCCCCCGAUGUAUUCGAACUUGCGAGCUAUAUAAUAAAGAGUAUCUCAGUCAAGGGCUUUGCUUUAUGUCGUGAUCAAAAGUAUGAAAAGAACGAUAGCAUGAAAAAUCAUGAGAUGAUCUUAUGGAAAGUGAUAGCUUCACAUAUAACACGUAUGAUGAUUGAAACUUGUUGAGAAUAAAUCAACAUAGACCUCAGUCAUUGUUGCAAUUAAUAAGAAGUAAUAAGCAAAGAGAGGUUCACAUAUAAAUAUAUCAUCUUAGACACUUUUUACAAUUGCGAGCACUCACCAAACUAUUACAUUCUUAGAAGUAGAUGUUGGACAAGGAAGACAACAUAAUGAAUUGUGUUUGCUUGGUUCCAAACAAUGUUAUAUGAUUAGAGAUCCCUUAGCAUGUGACGAUUGCUUCCACCUCAUAUUAGCCAAAACUCCCGCACCAAGUAGAGAUACUACUUGUGCAUCCGUAAACCUUCAACCCAGUUUUGCCAUGAGAGUCCACCAUACCUACCUAUGGAUUUAAUAAGAUCCUUCAAGUAAGUUGUCAUCGGUGCAAGCAAUAAAAUUGAUCUCUAAUAUGUAUGAUCUAUUAGUGUGUGGAAAAUAAGCUUUGUACGAACUUGUGAUGAGGAAGACAUAAAAGCGACAGACUGCAUAAUAAAGUUCUUUAUCACAGGAGGCAAUAUGAAGUGACGUUCCUCCACACUAAGAGGACACGCAUUCAAACCUCAAAAGCGCAUGACAACCUCUGCUUCCCUCUGCGAAGGGACUAUCUUGUACCUUUACUUUUUGCCCUUGUAAGAGUCAUGGUGAUCUUCACCAAUUCCCUAUUUUUGCCUAUGCCUUGGCUACCGUCACAUGCUUGGGAAAGAUCUAUAUUCAUAUAUCAACUUGGAGUUGAGUACCUAUGCUUUAUUAUUGUUGAAUUUACCCUUGAGGUAAAUAGUUAGGAGGCAAAACUAUAAGCCCCUAUCUUCCUCUAUGUCCAGCUAAAACUUUGACACCAUGAGUACCACGUGAGUUGUAACAAUUGUGGAAAAUAAAAGAGAUGAUUGAGUAUGUGGGUUUGCCUUAGAAGCUCUUAUUUGACUCUUUCUGAUGUUAUGAUAAAUUGCAAUUGCUUCAAUGACUUUGGACUGUUGUUGGUUACUUCUCGGUAAGGUUUUUUGCUUCAUACUUUGCUUUGUGAAGAAAUUGUUACUUUCCCAUAAGAAUCUUUAUGAUGUAUUGUUGUUCUAUGUGUGAUCAUGAUGCCUUCAUGUCCAUAUUAAGUUUCAUCGACACCUUCGUCCCUAAACAUGUGGACAUGUUUAGGGAACUUGGUUUUCGCUUGAGGACAAGCGAGGUCUAAGCUUGGGGGGAGUUGAUACGUCCAUUUUGCAUCAUGCUUUCAUGUUGAUAUUUAUUGAUUCAUGGGCUGUUAUAUACCUUUUUGGUACCAUAUCUAUGCCUUUUCUCUCUUAUUUUGCAAGGUUUAUUUGAAGAGGGAGAAUUCAGGUAGCUGGAAUUCUGGACUGGAAAAUGAGCAAAUCUGAGUCCACUAUUCUGCACAACUCCAAAUGCCCUGAAAAUUUACGUGGAAUUUUUGGGGAAUAUAUAAAAAAUACUAAGCGAAAGAAGUACCAAAGGGGAACUACCAAGGCGCCACAAGCCUGGUAGCCGCCACCCCCCUGGUGGCGGCUACAGGGCUUGUGGGCUCCCUGACGGCCCACUGGCCCCCCUCUUUUGCUAUAUGAAGGGUUUCGUUCCAGGAAAAAAAAUCAAUCAGGAGCUUUUUCGUGGUUUCGCCGCCACCACAAGGCGGAACUUGAGCAGAUCCAAUCUAGAGCUCCGGCAGGACGAUCCUGCUGGGGAAACUUCCCUCCCGAAGGGGGAAAUCGUCGCCAUCGUCAUCACCAACACUCCUCUCGUCAGAGGGGAGGCAUCUUCAUCAACAUCUUCAUCAGCACCAUCUCCUCUCCAAUCCCUAGUUCAUCUCUUGUAACCAAUCUCCGUCUCGCGACUCCGAUUGGUACUUGUAAGGUUGCUAGUAGUGUUGAUUACUCUUUGUAGUUGAUGCUAGUUGGAUUACUUGGUGGAAGAGUUUAUGUUUAGAUCCUUGAUGCUAUUCAUUACACCUCUGAUCAUGAUUAUGAUUAUGCUUUGUGAGUGGUUACUUUUGUUCCUGAGGACAUGGUAUAAGUCAUGUUAAAUAGUCAUGUGAAUUUGGUAUUCGUUCGGUACUUUGAUAUGCUAUAUGUUGUCUUUGCCUCUAGUGGUGUUAUGUGAACGUCGACUACAUAACACUUCACCAUACUUGGGCCUAGAGGAAGGCAUUGGGGAGUAGUAAGUAGAUGAUGGGUUGCUGGAGUGACAGAAGCUUAAACCCUACUCUAUGCGUUGCUUCGUAAGGGGCUGAUUUGGAUCCACUAGUUUAAUGCUAUGGUUAGACGUUGUCUUAAUUCUUCUUUCGUAGUUGCGGAUGCUUGCGAGAGGGGGUUAAUCAUAAGUGGGAUGCUUGUCCAAGUAAGGGCAGUAACCAAGCGCCGGUCCACCCACAUAUCAAACUAUCAAAGUAACAAACGUGAAUCACAUGAACAUGACGAAACUAGCAUGACAGAAAUUCCCGUGUGUCCUCAGGAGCGCUUUUCCUCCUAUAAGACUUUGUUCAGGCUUGUCCCUUGCUACAAAAGGGAUUGGGCCACUUGCUGCACCAUUUCUACUACUUGUUACUUGUCACUUUUCGCUUGCUACGUUUCACCUCACUACACCAUCACUUGUUACCGCUACUUUCAGUGCUUGCAGUUAUUACCUUGCUGAAAACCGUUUAUCAGAGCCUUCUGCUUCUUGUUGGGUUCGACACUUACUUAUCGAAAGGACUACGAUUGAUCCCCUAUACUUGUGGGUCAUCAGACAGCAAUGCGGGACUCGUACUUGAUAUUGUGGUCGGCCAGCUGGAGAGCCCACUUGGUGAUGCGGCUAGCCGCGUCCCUGUUGCCCAUGAUCUCCCCAAGGGGAGCGGUGCUCACCACCAUGACUCGGUGCUCCUGGAAGUAGAGCUUGAGCUUCCAGGCCGCCAGGAACACACCAUAUCACAUCUUCUGGUAGUGGGGUAGUUCUGGUUGCAGGCGGACAACACCUUGCUCAAGUAGUAGACCGGCCGCUGGACCGGCUGGGCUCGGCCCGGCUCCGAGCGCUCGACGGCCAUGACGAUGCUGAUGACGCGGCUAGUCGCGAUGAUGUAGAGCAGCAUCAGCUCCUUGUCGGCUGGUGCGACCAGCACCGGCGCUAUAGUCAACGCGCGCUUGGGGCCGCGCAGGGCCUCGUCGGCUUCGUUGCCCCAGACGAACUCGUCUGCCUUCUUGAACACGCGGUAGAGUGGGAGGGCCUUCUCUCCCAGCCGACUGAUGAAGCGGCUGAGCGAGGCAAGGCAGCCGGUGACCUUCUGGAUCCCGGCCAAGUCAGUCGGCCGGGCCAUUCGCUCGAUGGCCCGAAUCUUCUUUGGAUUCUCAUCGAUCCCUCGUUCAAAAACGAGGAAACCAAGGAGCUGACCGGCUCUUACGCCGAACACGCACUUCUCCGGGUCAGCCGGAUUUCGAACUCGUGCAGGCUCGCGAAUGUCUCUACGUAGAUCGUCCAGGAUGGUGCGGCUUUCUUUGGUCUUGACCACAACGUUAUCUACGUAGACGUAUAUGUUGCGGCCAAGCUGCGUGUAGAGGCAUCGCUGCAUGCAGCGCUGGAACGUGGCACCGGCAUUUUUCAGCCCGAACAUCAUUGUAAUGGAGCAAAACGUCCCGAAGGAUGUAACGAAAGCUGCCUUCAGCCCGUUGGUUGGAUUUAGCUUGAUUUGGUAUCACCCUGAAUAGGUGUCCAAGAAGGACAAUAGCUCGCAGUCGCCCGUCGAGUCGAUCACUUGAUCGAUACGGGGCAGAGCAAAUGGAUCCUUGUGGCAUGCCUUGUUUAGGCUCGUGUAAUCGAUACACAUGCGCCAAGUCUUAUUCUUCUUCAGCACCAGGACGGGGUUCGACAACCAGUCCGGGUGGAAUACUUCCAUGAUGAAGCCGGCUGCUAGCAGCCGGGCGACUUCUUCAUUGAUGGUUUUCCGUUCACCUCUCAGAACUAGCGUAGGGGCUACCGGACCGGCUUUGCGUCUGGUCGGACGUCGAGGAAGUGCUCGACGAACUUCCUCAGGACACUCGACAUGUCUUUUGUGGACCAUACAAAGAUAUCCCAAUUCUCACGGAGGAAGUCAACGAGCUUGCUUCCCUAUUUGCUUCUGAGGCCCGGCCCCCGCCAGGACGUACUUGCCGGUGGGGUCAGUCGGGUCCACAGGGACCCUCUUUGUGUCCUUGCCGGUGGCCGGCUGGAACUGGGCCUCCGCAGUCGGCUACUUUAGCCAGGGCUCGGGCAUGGUCGUCGGCUCGUGGGCGAGGGCCACGAGCCAGUCGAUCUGUCGCUGCUUCUCGGCGAUGACGACCGACUCGGCCAGCUUGGAGCCGGCCACAACCCACUCAGAUGACUUCUUGUAGUCGCCGACGACGGUGAUGAUUACGUGUGGGCCUGGCAUCUUAUACAUCUCCAACGUAUCUAAAAUUUAUGAAGUAUUCAUGCCAUGUUUACAAUAAUUCUAUAUCAUUUUGGUAUGAUUUUAUUAGAACUAACCCGGACUGACGCUGUUUUCAGCAGAACUACCGUGGUGUUGUUUUUGUGAAGAAAUAAAAGUUCUCAGAAUGGGCUGAAAAUUUACGGUGAUUUUUUAUGGACCAAAAGAGACCCUCGAAGCACCAGAGCUGGGCCAGGAAGUGACCGAGGAGGCCACAAGCCUGCAGGGCACAACCCCCUAGGUCGCGCCCUUGUGGCUUGUGGGCACCUCGAGCACCGCCUUGACGUGAUUCCAAUGUCAAAUUUUCCAAUAAAUACCAGAACCUCCGAAAAGAAACCUAGAUUGGGAGUCACGCUGUCGCAAGCCUCCAAAGCCAUGAAAAACCCAAUUGGGAGCCCGUUUCGACACCGUGCCGAAGGGGGAAACCAUCAUUGGAGGCCAUCUUCAUCAUCCCAGCGGUCUCCAUGACGAGGAGGGAGUAGUUCACCCUCGGGGCUGAGGGUAUGUACUAGCAGCUAUGUGUUUGAUCUCUCUCUCUCUCUGUCUCGUGUUCUUGAGAUGGCACGAUCUUGAUGUAUCGCGAGCUCUAUUAAUAUAGAUGAAUCAUAUGGAGUUUUCCCUUCUCUAUCUUCUUCUAACGAAUUGAGUUUUCCCUUUGAAGUUUUCUUAUCAGAUUGAGUCUUUAAGGAUUUGAGAACACUUGAUGUAUGUCUUGCGAUGGGAUAUCCGUGGUGACAAUGGGGUGUUCUAUUGAUCCACUUGAUGUAUGUUUUGAUGAUCAACUUGCGGGUUCCGUGACCUUGGGAAUCUAUGCAUAGGGGUUGUCACAUAUUUUCUUCUCAACUUUUCGGUAGAAACUUUGGGGCACUCUUUGAAGUUCCUUAUGUUGGAUUGAACAUGACGAAUCUGAAAUUAUGUGAUACAUAUCAUAUAAUCAAGCCCACGGGUAGUCGAGGUGACAUUAGGGUUUUGGUUGAUGUGUAUCUUAAGGUGUUAUUUUAGUACAAACUCUAGGGUUGUUUGUGACACUUAUAAGGAUAGCUCAUAGGAUUGAUAAAAAAAGAUAACUUUGAGGUGGUUUAGUACCCUACAAUAUUUUCUUCGUUUGUUCUCUACUAUUUGUGACUUUGGAGUGAAUUCUUUGUCGCACGUGAGGGAUUUAUAUAUGAUUCACCUACGUUAAUAUUAUUGAGAGAACUUGCACUAGUGAAAGUAUGGACACUAGGCCUUGUUUCCAAGCAUUUAUACAACAUUUUGCUCGUUGUUUACUAUUUUUUACCUUGCUGUUUUUAUAUUUUCAGAUUACAAAAACCUAUAUAUAUCAUCCAUAUUACACUUGUAUCACCAUCUCUUCGCCGAACUAGUGCACCUAUACAAUUUACCAUUGUAUUGGGUGUGUUGGGGACACAAGAGACUCUUUGUUAUUUGAUUGCAGGGUUGCAUGAGAGAGACCAUCUUCAUCCUACGCCUCCCACGGAUUGAUAAACCUUAGGUCAUACACUUGAGGGAAAUUUGGUACUGCCCUACAAAACUCUAUGCUUGGAGGCCCAACACGAGUCUACAAGAAGAAGGUUGUGUAGUAGAAAUCAAGCUCUUUUCUGGUGCCAAGGCACASAGSGGAUASGUCACAUCCCGNAACGAAGCUCUUUCUAGCACCGUUUCUGGGGAGUGAGUGCUUGAAGGUAUAUCUUUAGAUCUUGCAACUAAUCCUUUAGUUCUUGUUUUCACUAGUUUGGUUUAUAAAUAAACUACAAAAAUGGAAUUGAGGUUNNNNNNNNNNNNNNNNNNNNNNNNNNNNNNNNNNNNNNNNNNNNNNNNNNNNNNNNNNNNNNNNNNNNNNNNNNNNNNNNNNNNNNNNNNNNNNNNNNNNGAGCAUCAUUGAAUUAUCAAUGCCAAGCUAAGGGCAUUAAACAAUAGCGCUUGUUUGGGUAAGGCAACCCAAUGAAUUUAUCUUUUCUUUUUGCUUUUUGUUUUGUCCACACCAUCAUAAUUCUGUUAUGAUUUGUUUUUUGUGUUUGAGCCAAGUAAAACCUUUAUCACUAGUUUUGGUGAUGGUUGUUUGAUCUUGCUGAAAAAGACAGAAACUUUUCGCUCACGAAAUUAUUUUUCAUUCCUAUCCAGAAAGAGAUUUUGAGUUGAUUCUUUUUUGCUUCUCAUUGAUAUGCCAAUUGCCCAAACUUUAAUAAUUUUUCAGAAUUUUUUAGAUACCAGAAGUAUACGAAGUAUACAGAUUGCUACAGAUUGGUCUGUUUUUGACAGAUUCUAUUUUGUUGUGUUGAUUGCUUAUUUUGAUGAAACUAUGGAUAGUAUCGGGGGGUACUAGCCAUGGGAAAGUGAGAAUACAGUAAUGUAACACCAAUAUAAAUAGAAAUCAAGUUUGCUACAGUACCUAAAGAGGUGGUAGUUUGUUUCUUGUGCUAAUGAUAUCACGAGUUUCUGUUUAAGUUUGUGUUAGUGAAGGUUUUUCAAGGUUUUGGGUGAAUGUUCUCGAUGGACAAUGGGAUGAAGAAGUGGAAAGAACUCAAGCUUGGGGAUGCCCAAGGCAUCCCAAGCCAAAUUCAAGGACACAAAAGCCUAAGCUUAGGGAUGCCCCGGGAAGGCAUCCCCUCUUUCGUCUUCAAUCCAUCGGUAACAUUACUUGGAGCUAUAUUUUUUAUUCACCACAUGAUAUGUGUUUUGCUUGGAGCGUCGUGUAUUAUAGGAGUCUUUUCUUUUUGUUGUGUAACAAUCAUCCUUGCUGCACAUCUUUUGAGAGAUACAUGCACUCAUCGUGAAUUUGCUAGAAUACUCAUUGAGCUUCGCUUAUAUCUUUUGAGUUAGGCAAUUUAGCUCGCAUCUGCUCCACUUAUAUCUUUUGAGCUAGAUAACUUUGCUCUAAGUGCUUCACUUAGAUCUUUUUAGAGCACGGUAGUGUCAUAUUUUGGAUAAAUAAGAACUCUCGAUCUUCACUUAUAUCUUUUUGAGAGUGCUCUCUUUGAGUAGGUGGGUAGUUGGCUUGUGCUAUGAAAGUAGUCCUAAAGUUGAUAGGCAUCCAAAGAGGAUACAAUAAAAACUUCCAUAUUCAUGUGCAUUGAUUAGAAAGAGAAGUUUGAUUCCUCUCAAUUAGUUUUGAGACAUGGAUUUGGUAAUAUUAGAGUCAUGUUAGUAGGGUGUUGUGAAUCUAGAAAUACUUGUGUUGAAGUUAGUGAUUCCCGUAACAUGCACGUAUGGUGAAUCGCUAUGUUAGGAAGUCGAAGCAUAAUUGAUUUAUUGAUUGUCAUCCUUUGUGUUGCGGUCGGGAACGCGCGAUGGUUAACACCUACCAACCCUUCCCCUAGGAGUAUGCAUUUAGCACUUUGUUCUGAUUACUAAUAAAAACUUUCGCAAUAAGUAUGUGAGUUCUUCAUGACUAAUGGGAGUCCAUGGUAUAGAUGCACUUUCACCUUCCACCAUUUCUAGCCUCUCUAAUGCCGCGCAACUUUUGCCGAUACACAAAACCACCAUAGACCUUCCUCAAAACAGCCAGCAUACCUACCUAUCAUGGCCUUUUCAUAGCCAUUCCGAGAUAUAUUGCCAUGCAACUCCCACCAUUCCGUCUCAUGACUUGUGUCGUCACUUACAUAUUGCCAUUGCACGAUCGUAAGAUAGCUAGUGAGAUGUUUCAACGUCCUACGCCAAGCUAGAUCGUUGCACAUCCCGGUACACUACCAGAGGCAUUUCCUAUAGAGUCAUCAUCGUUCUAAGCAUUGAGCUGUGAGUAAAUAAAGUGUGAUGAUCAUCAUUAUUAGAGCAUUGUCCCAUGUCAGGAAAAAUGAAAAGAGGCCAAAUAUGCCCAMCAAAAAAAAGGAAAAAAAUAGAAAAGAGGCCGAAGAGCCCAAAAAGAGAGAGAGAGAGAGAAGAAAGAAGGGACAAUGCUACUAUCUUUUCCACACUUGUGCUUCAUAUAGCACCAUGUUCUUCAUGAUUGAGAGCCUCUUUGUUUGUUCCACCACCAUAUACUAGUGGGAUCUUCAUUAUGUNNNNNNNNNNNNNNNNNNNNNNNNNNNNNNNNNNNNNNNNNNNNNNNNNNNNNNNNNNNNNNNNNNNNNNNNNNNNNNNNNNNNNNNNNNNNNNNNNNNNUAGCAGAGUACGCCGAUGCAGUUCCGGAMAGCCAACGACGGAGGSCSUUUCCUACGUGCUCGAGGGCGGGRAAUGGGACCCCUGGGGAUCCCGCAUCCCCCGCCGAUAGUUUCCCCUGCCGGUGGUGGCCGGGAGUGGCGCCGCCAGCACCCUCGGGUCCGACCGCCGGCGGAGUUCAUCUCGUGAGUGGAGUGGUUUCCUAUUUUACCUUCUUGUCUAAACCAGUCAUCGAUCCGUAGCCCGAUGGUAGAGUUGUGCUGGCUUAUUCUAGCGCCUGUAGGAGGGCGUGGGUUCGAGUCCCCCCUCGGCGCCCUUUUUAUUCUUUUGUUUUGAUUUAUUCCUGCAGGUAGCUUACCUUGCCUUUUCUCUUCUCUUGACCACAACUUGUGCAGCAGCGCAGUGGUGAGAUAGUGGUGCUGGACACCAGGGGCCUGAGUUCGAAUCCCAGCAGCCCCUGAUUCUAUUUUUUUGCUUUAUUUUCUUUUCCUGCCUUUUAAUUUCUGUUUCCCUAACUCCAUACAAAGUGGUUUGUUAGUUUUGUGAAUUCUCUGAUAACUAACUCUUUUAUACAGUGGGGGUGAUUUUGUUCCUGCUAAUAUAGAUAGGGUAGAUUUAGUUAUGUGUGUGUUUUGCACACUAAGAGGUGAUGUGUGAUCUUGCUAUACUUGUGAUGGUUUGGUGGGUGCACCUUAGUGAUAGAGGAGUUAGCCUUGGUAAGUGGAUGAUGCUAGCUGCCUUGACAAUUAUGUGUGUUGUGCUUGGAGGUGAUAAGAUGCACUAGCCACUCUUGUAUAGCCCCAACUUUUGAAAUUUGGUGUGGGCUAAGUGAUCUUGUAGUUUUAUUUGUUUGCAAUGAUUUAGUGGGAUGUGGGUGCCUCCCCCUCAUCACAUGUUUUGGUGUGAAGUGAUGUUCUAGAUAGCUCUAUGUUAGCAUGUGAGGGUGUGGAUUGUUGUGGUGGUUGCAUAUUGAGGAUGACAUGGAUACUAGGAAGAUCCUAGUGAUGCUUGUGAGAGUGUGCACCAUCACAUGCCCAUAUGUGGGGGUGUGCAUACUCUCUUGUUAGCUUAGAGUCCCAUUGUGUUGUGCUUGAAAUCUAGUAGUAUUGUGAUAUGGGUGUUGGUGUUGUUGAUGUGCAUGACACAAACAUGGGGUUCAAACCCCCAUGUCACUUUGUCAUUGUGCACAUGAAACCCUCCUAUGUAAUUGUCAUCUUAGAAGCAUACCUUAUGGAUUUGCAUUACAUUUUGUUGAAAGUUUGGGCUUUGUUUCCAUGGUAUAGAUGGAGCCCAAGGGCAUGAAUUUUGUGUGCUAGUAGUAGGGGUUUGUGCUCAACACCAUAGUGGUGUCAAUAACCUCUUGGUGACAUGUGUGUGCAAACUAUGCCUAGACAAAGUGGGCAUGUGGCUGGAAAAUUCCAGAUUUUUUGAACUCUGAAAAUUUCACUAAGUCUGGAAUGCUGGAAACAUUUUCUUCCCCUGUAGACAAGGAUGUGCUGGUCAUUCUGUUGAGAACUGGACUUAGUUCAGUGCUAGUGUUUUGAAUCUGGUAUGUUUGUGAAGCUUCCUGUCAAUUUUCAAGUCAUUUGGAGUCCAGUAACUUGUGUUUUGAUUGCUGUCAAAAAGCUUCAGAACAGAAACAGAAUCUCAGGUGCAGGAAUUUUCACUAAGUCCCUGAGAACUGAUGGUUUUGGGAAAAUUUGUGGCCUUGUAUCUUCUAGAGUUUAAUUCCUUUUGCUGUGAUUCUUGCUGUAGCUUGUAGUGUUCUUGGUUGGAAACAGCCACAUAUAUUAUUUGUCAUAUUUGAAGACCUGUAGCUAUGUUGUAUGUGGCUCACAAACAGCUAAGAUGCAGAAACUGGCAGAUUGCGUAGUUUUGCCAUUUUGUUCAAAGUUUGUGUUUAAUUGUUGUUGGGGUGUUCUACCUUGCUCCAUUUCAUUCAUGUUGGGUUAAUAUAUGUCUUGGAAACCUGGGAACACCAGAUUUGUGCCAAUUGUGUGUGUGUUGAUGAAUCUUCCUACGUAGGGCUUCAUAUCGUGUUUCGUUGAUUCCCGGUUGAUCCGUAGCUCCGUUUGCAAAGUUCUUUACAUGGUUUUUGCACCGUUUUUACGAGAUGCAUCUGUUCGUAUCAUUCCCAUGCAUGUCCAAAUAGUUUAGUGCAAAGUUCUGUCCAGGAACUUGUUGUAGUUUAUCUUGCUUGUGCUAGUGUUAGAAAUAGUGGUGCAUGCUCAACUUUCAUCUCAUGCAUCAUGUGAUUGUUGCAUUUUGUGGUGCUGCUGUUCAUUGGCUGUUAUUCUUGUGUUGGGUAAGCACCGGGAGCGGAGACCGAAUACGUGGAUCAGAGAGUACGUGCAGGACGAUCCAGAACCUUUCCAAGCCGAGGAUAUCACAGGCAAGAUGACAUGACCUUGAUCCCAUAUCUAGACUUGUUAUGUUAGUUUCGAUUCCAUGUCAUAUUGCUCGCUGCCUACCACUGAAAAUAUAUUGCCUCUUCAUAUGCCAUGAGCCUAAACACCUUACUCUUUCCUAGCAAACUUGCAUGGCUAGGUAGGCUUGCUCCGCUACUAAUGUUAGCAUUGUUAGUUGCAGGUGUUUAUAACUCAUGAGUUGCCAUGAGCUUGAUAUCAUUAUAUUAAUUUAUUUUAUUUAAUUAAUGUAUCUAUAUAUUUGGUAAAUGACGGGAGGCCUAGCCUUUUGUCGGGUGUCUUGUUCCGUUAUUGCCGCCUUAGUUACCGGUUACCGGUGUUUGAUUCCAUAAUGAUCGCUCCUAACACGUUCGGGGUUGUUAUGGGGACCCCCUUGAUAAAUCGCGUAGUGUUAAGGCUUGUCCGGCAGGACCCAACUUUGGUAUUAAUCUGCUAAUCACUUAAUAAUAAUCUGCAUAGGGAAUAGCUACCCCGAGGAUUCUAAUCAACAACCCGGGCCAGUGCUCCUCAUGAGUGUUGGUCCAAACUGGGCAGACUAUGGGGCCACCACAGGGCAACCUGAGGUUUGGUAUACCUGUAGUGUGACUCAUCCGGCGUGUCCUCAGACUGAGAUACGCGGCUCUUAUCAGGGUCGUCGACACGUCGAGAGGUCCUGCUAGUCUUGUCUUGCCUUAGCGGUAUAUCUUGCGUAUAGGAAUUCCUGUGAAGCUUUGGUUUUCCCCAGAGUCGAGGUUUUCCUCUAAGGAAUCCGACGAGAUCACGAGAUUCGUGUUAGAGGAUGCCUUUGCGGCAUGUGUUCGUUUGUGAUGGACUAGUUGGAGCACCCCUACAGGGUUUAAUCUUUGGGAAAGCCGUGCCCGCGGUUAUGUGGCAACUUGGAAUAUUUUGUUAACAUCCGGUAUUAGAGAACUUGAACAUAAACUAAUAAAAAAAAUGCAACUGUGUGUGUAACCGUGACUGUCCCUUCGAAGCCCUCUCUUCGAUCGGGAACACGGUGGGGUUAUGAAUGCCGUAGGUAGGUGUUCAGGAUCACUUUCUGAUCAAGUGUUCACGAUCGUUAGCAUAGAACACUGUCACUUCUCCUUUGCGUAAGCUAGCCGCUUAUUCAACCUUAGGAUGCAGCAGCCUGAAACACUUCACCCUUCCUUACCCAAUAACAUGACUAGUUCUGGCACCAAGGUCUUAGAUUGCUGAGUCCCCGUGGCUCACGGAUUCCUCCGAAACUCCCAGCAGGUACAGGUACCCCAGAGGCAGAUGAUCCCGACGGCACCCAGCUGGCGUGGCAGUACGAUGAGGAGACAGAUCGCCUUUACGUGAACUAUCCAGAGAACUGAGCCGUGGUCGUGAUCAUGGGCCUGCAGCGGGUAGCAUAGCAUUUUCCUUGUUUUGUAGUCCGUACCGGAACUACCUUGUUUGUAUCUGCGUUGUACUCUGUAUUUUAAUAAGAAGACAGUUGAAUCCCAGAUUGUCUACUGUAAGUAUUAUUAUAUGCUAUGUUUACUUGCUUGCGAAACACUUAGAUGCGCUUCUUUCCUAUUCGGGGGCCUCGACCCCCAGAUCGGAAAGGACCGCAUCUUGGUCGUUACAGUAGUUCAGCACAAAACCUUUGUAGCUUGGUGGGAGAGACUGGAGGAUUCUGUCAAUUAUAGCAUCAUCCGGAAGUUCGACUCCAAGUGAAGUCAGACGACCGUGUAACCCAGACAUUUGAGUAUGUGCUCACCGACAAAACUGUUCUCCUCCAUCUUAUAGCUAAAGAACUUGUCGGAGACUUCAUAUCUCUCGACACGGGCAUGAGCUUGAAAAACUAGUUUCAGCUCUUGGAACAUCUCAUAUGCAUCGUGUUGCUCAAAACGCCUUUGGAGCCCCGUUUCCAAACUAUAUAACAUGCCACACCUAACCAGAGAGUAGUCAUUACUCCGCGUUUGCCAGACGUUCAGAAUGCCCUGGGCUGCUGCGGGAGCGGGAGGGUCACCUAGCGGCGCAUCAAGGACAUAAGCCUUUUUAGCUGCUUCAAGGAUGAGCUUCAAGUUGUGGACCCAGUCCGCAUAGUUGCUACCAUCAUCUUUCAGCUUGUUUUUCUCUAGGAAUGCGUUGAAAUUGAGGUUGACAUUGGCCAUCUACAAUAUUUAUAAAGACAACUUUUAGACUAAGUUCAUGACAAUUAAGUUCAUUUAAUCAAAUUAAGUAUGAACUCCCACUUAAAUCGACAUCCCUCUGGUCAUCUAAGUGAUACAUGAUCCAUGUUGACUAACCCGUGUCCGAUCAUCACGUGAGACGGACUAGUCACCAUGGUGAGCAACUUCAUGCUGAUCGUAUUCAACCAUACGACUCAUGUUCAACCUUUCGGUCUCUUGUAUUCGAGGUCAUGUCUGUACAUGCUAAGCUCGUCGAGUCAACCUAGGUGUUUCGCGUGUGUAAAUCUGGCUUACACCCGUUGUAUGUGAACGUUAGAAUCUAUCACACCCGAUCAUCACGUGGUGCUUCGAGACAACGAUCCUUUGCAACGGUGCACACUUAGGGAAUACGUUCUCCAAAUUUUAAGAGGGGUCAUCUUAUUAUGCUACCGUCGUUCUAAGCAAUAAUAUGAAAAACAUGAUAAACAUCACAAUGCAAUCAUAUAGUGACAUGAUAUGGCCAUUAUGAUCUUUGCUCUUUCGAUCUCCAUCUUCAGGCAUCGCAUGAUCAUCAUUGUCACCGGCGUGACACCAUGAUCUCCAUCAUCAUGAUCUCCAUCAUCGUGUCUCCGUGAAGUCGUCACGCCAACUACUACUAUCACUACUACUAUAGCUAACCGUUAGCAAUGAAGUAAAAGUAGUAAGCACAUGGCGUUGCAUCUCAUACAAUAAAUUAAGACAACUCCUAUGGCAACUGCCGGUUGUCAUACUCAUCGACAUGCAAGUCGUGAAACCUAUUACAAUAACAUGAUCAUAUCAUACAUCAUACAUGCAACAUCACAACUUUGGCCAUAUCACAUCACAUGUCAAACCCUGCAAAAACAAGUUAUAUGUCCUCUAAUUGUUGUUGCAAGUUUUACGUGGCUGAUUUGGGUUUCUAGCAAGAACGCUUUCUUACCUACGUGGCAGCCACAACGAUGAUAUGCCAAAUCUAUUUACCCUUCAUAAGGACCCUUUUCAUCAAAUCCAAUCUGACUAGAGUAGGAGAGACAGACACCCGCUAGCCACCUUUAUGCACGGUGUGCAUGUCUGUCGGUGGAACCAGUCUCAUGUAAGCGUACGUGUAAUGUCGGUCCGGGCCGCUUCAUCCCACAAUACCGCCGGAAAAGAAUAAGACAAGUAGCGGCAAGCAAUUGACAAAUCAUCGCCCACAACCUUUUGUGUUCUACUUGUGCAUAGAAUCUACGCAUAGAAAACGUGGCUCGGAUGCCACUCUUGGGUAACGUAGCAUAAAUUCAAAAAAAAUUCCUACGCAUAUUCAGAUCUUCCUAUGGAGAGACYAGCAAYGAGAGAGGGGUGAGUGCAUCUUCAUACCUUUGAAGAUYGCUAAGCAGAAGCGUUGCUAGAACGCGGUUGAUGGAGUCAUACUCGCGGCGAUUCAGAUCGCGGUGUGAUUCCGAUCUAGUGCCGAACCACGGCACCUCCGCGUUCAACACACGCGCAGCCCGGUGACGUCUCCCGCACCUUGAUCCAGCAAGGAGGAGGGAGAGGUUGGGAAAGAUCUCCGGCAGAACGACGGCGUGGUGUCGAUGGAGAGACGAGGUCUCCCGGUAGGGAUUCGCCAAGCACCGGCAAAGAGGAGGAGAAGGAAGAGCAGGGCUGCGCCGAGGGAGAGGAAGAUUGGUGUCUCCAACAGCCCAAAGUGCCCACUAUAUAUAGGGGGAGGGGCUGUUCCCUCCUGAGGGUUUCCCUCUCCUGGGAGGGGCGGCAGCCCUAGAUCGGAGGAGGUGCGGCGGCCAGGAGGUGAGGAGGGGUGGCACACCCUUCUAGUGGGCCUUAGGCCCACCUGCACCAGGGGUUCCCCCCUCUCCCCUCUUCUUGCGCCAUGGGCUGAGUGUGGGGGGCGCACCAGCCCACCUAGGGGCUGGUUCUCUCCCACACUUGGCCCAUCUAGCCUCCUGGCGUGGUGGCCCCUUUCCGGUGGACCCCCCGGUAGUACGUUACCGGCGACGCCCGAAACACUUCCGGUGUCCAAAACCAUCCGUCCUAUAUAUCAAUCUUUACCUCCGGAUCAUUCCGGAGCUCCUCGUGACGUCCGGGAUCUCAUCCGGGACUCCGAACAACUUUCAGUAACCUUGUAUAACAAUUCCCUAUAAUACUAGCGUCAUCGAACCUUAAGUGUGUAGACCCUACGGGUUUGGGAGAYAGGCAGACAUGACCGAGACACCUCUCCGGCCAAUAACCAUCAGCGGGGUCUGGAUACCCAUGGUGGCUCCCACUUGCUCCACGAUGAUCUCAUCGGAUGAACCACGAUGUCAAGGAUUCAAUCAACCCCGUAUACAAUUCCCUUUGUCUGUCGGUAUAGAACUUGCCCGAGAUUCGAUCGUCGGUAUACCUAUACCUUGUUCAAUCUCGUUACCGGUAAGUCUCUUUACUCGUUCCGUAGCACGUCAUCGUGUGACUAACUCCUUAGUCACAUUGAGCUCAUGAUGAUGUUCUACCGAGUGGGCCCAGAUAUACCUCUCCGUCACGCGGAGUGACAAAUCCCGAUCUCGAUUCGUACCAACCCAACAGACACUUUCAGAGGUACCCGUAGUGCACCUUUAUAGUCACCCAGUUACGUUGUGACGUUUGAUACACCCAAAGCACUCCUACGGUAUCCCAGAGUUGCACAAUCUCAUGGUCGAAGGAAAAGACACUUGACAUUAGAAAAGCUUUAGCAUACGAACAAUACGAUCUAGUGCUAUGCUUAGGAUUGGGUCUUGUCCAUCACAUCAUUCUCCCAAUGAUGUGAUCCCGUUAUCAAUGACAUCUAAUGACCAUGAUCAGGAAACCAUGAUCAUCUAUUGAUCAACGAGCUAGCCAACUAGAGGCUUACUAGGGACACAUUGUGAUCUAUUUAUUCACACAUGUAUUACUGUUUCCUGUUAAUACAAUUAUAGCAUGAAYAAUAGACRAUUAUYAUGAAUAAGGAAAUAUAAUAAUAACCACUUUAUUAUUGCCUCUAGGGCAUAUUUCCAACAUAUCCUUGCUGCCAUAUAGCACUACCACAUAUCCACCACAAUCCUAGUCUGCGUCUUUUUCGUAUUAGGUUAAUUUCGAGAUCCUCUUGUUUUCGGUUUCGCGUUUCCUUACCUGAGUAGGUUUUUGGAAAACAAGGUCUGGCACGCUUUUUAGAGCACUUUUUAGGCCAAAAAUUUCAGGAGGUGAAAUUUUUUCCCCCUAUCGUUUUGUUAUGUUUUUAGAGAGUUUUGAGACACUCGCCAUCAUAGUGAUUUUUUGUCGCAAUUUUUGGUCCUCGCAGCCCCGAAUUGCUCCAGAAAAAAUAUUGUCAAAUUUUUUCGUGCCUAUCUUGUUUUUUGUUCCUUCGGAAGUAGAAUUUUGAAGACACUCGCCAUUAUAGUGAUUUUUUUGACCUAAAAAAAAAAUUAGUGCCCAAAAAAAAAGAGCUACAAAAAAACGAGGUAAAAGAAAANNNNNNNNNNNNNNNNNNNNNNNNNNNNNNNNNNNNNNNNNNNNNNNNNNNNNNNNNNNNNNNNNNNNNNNNNNNNNNNNNNNNNNNNNNNNNNNNNNNNUUGAUCAAUUCACGUAGUCCUUCUUUGUUUUUGCUUUACUUGUUCCACUACAAUUUCUCAUCAUGGUAUAAUUAACAAUGGACGGGUUCGAAUUUUACUUAACAAAAUAGGAUAGGACUGACUACAUUAGUUAGUUAGCUUUAUUAUUUUAAUAAAUCAAAUUAUUAUAAAAAGNUUAAAAGCACGUUAGUAUUUUUUUACUACUACCGUUGCAACGCACGGACCCUUUUUGCUAGUUGCUUAUAAUGCACUUUCAGCAUGCUGGAGCAUCAUAUCAACGAACAUAACUACUGAACAUGCAACAGCUUUUUGUAUCGUAUAGGCAAAUACCUUUCAGAACGAAUACAUAUAAAGUUCAGUACUGAAACUAGUGGAACAAAAUUUGUAUAGCUUCUUAAAAGCUCAAAGGUCCUUGCUGAACAAACUUAUGUCUAGAGCCUAUAUAAGCCGACACAACUAACAUUUCUGAAUAGCUCAAACUCCACAUAUUCUCUGGAAGGAUAUUUCUAUCUACCACAGGCCACCUCAUCCAAAAUUACUCAGUUGGCUUGUCUGGGUCAUCUUCCUCAGGAUCCUCCUUGUCAGGAUCN